GCGGGCGUGGCGGAAUUGGUAGACGCGCCGGGUUUAGGUCCCGGUGGGGCUGACGCUCCUUAGAGGUUCGAGUCCUCUCGCCCGCA
rnacentral:tRNA from 1 species